rnacentral:rRNA from 1 species
AGCUUGCUAUUUUUAUGAAGAGCGGCGAACGGGUGAGUAACGCGUGGGAAAUCUGCCGAGUAGCGGGGGACAACGUUUGGAAACGAACGCUAAUACCGCAUAACAAUGAGAAUCGCAUGAUUCUUAUUUAAAAGAAGCAAUUGCUUCACUACUUGAUGAUCCCGCGUUGUAUUAGCUAGUUGGUAGUGUAAAGGACUACCAAGGCGAUGAUACAUAGCCGACCUGAGAGGGUGAUCGGCCACACUGGGACUGAGACACGGCCCAGACUCCUACGGGAGGCAGCAGUAGGGAAUCUUCGGCAAUGGGGGCAACCCUGACCGAGCAACGCCGCGUGAGUGAAGAAGGUUUUCGGAUCGUAAAACUCUGUUGUUAGAGAAGAACGUUAAGUAGAGUGGAAAAUUACUUAAGUGACGGUAUCUAACCAGAAAGGGACGGCUAACUACGUGCCAGCAGCCGCGGUAAUACGUAGGUCCCAAGCGUUGUCCGGAUUUAUUGGGCGUAAAGCGAGCGCAGGUGGUUUCUUAAGUCUGAUGUAAAAGGCAGUGGCUCAACCAUUGUGUGCAUUGGAAACUGGGAGACUUGAGUGCAGGAGAGGAGAGUGGAAU